UACGUAGGGUCCGAGCGUUGUCCGGAAUUAUUGGGCGUAAAGAGCUCGUAGGCGGUUUGUCGCGUCUGCUGUGAAAUCCCGAGGCUCAACCUCGGGCCUGCAGUGGGUACGGGCAGACUGGAGUGCGGUAGGGGAGAAUGGAAUUCCUGGUGUAGCGGUGGAAUGCGCAGAUAUCAGGAGGAACACCGAUGGCGAAGGCAGUUCUCUGGGCCGAUACUGACGCUGAGGAGCGAAAGCGUGGGGAGCAAACAGG
rnacentral:rRNA from 1 species